UUUUUCCUCAAGCAUCGCUUUAGCAUCUUGGUAUUGCUUUUUUACUUCUUUAUAUUCACGGUACGUUUGCACAGUUUCUUGUAUAUCAGACUGCUCUUUUGAAUAUUCACGCAG
rnacentral:antisense_RNA from 1 species